GAUGAACGCUGGCGGCGUGCCUAAUACAUGCAAGUCGAGCGAACAGACGAGGAGCUUGCUCCUCUGACGUUAGCGGCGGACGGGUGAGUAACACGUGGAUAACCUACCUAUAAGACUGGGAUAACUUCGGGAAACCGGAGCUAAUACCGGAUAAUAUAUUGAACCGCAUGGUUCAAUAGUGAAAGACGGUUUUGCUGUCACUUAUAGGUGGAUCCGCGCCGCAUUAGCUAGUUGGUAAGGUAACGGCUUACCAAGGCAACGAUGCGUAGCCGACCUGAGAGGGUGAUAGGCCACACUGGAACUGAGACACGGUCCAGACUCCUACGGGAGGCAGCAGUAGGGAAUCUUCCGCAAUGGGCGAAAGCUUGACGGAGCAACGCCGCGUGAGUGAUGAAGGUCUUCGGAUCGUAAAACUCUGUUAUUAGGGAAGAACAAAUGUGGAAGUAACUAUGCACGUCUUGACGGUACCUAAUCAGAAAGCCACGGCUAACUACGUG
rnacentral:rRNA from 1 species